rnacentral:rRNA from 1 species
UACGAAGGGGGCUAGCGUUGUUCGGAAUUACUGGGCGUAAAGCGCACGUAGGCGGAUAUUUAAGUCAGGGGUGAAAUCCCAGAGCUCAACUCUGGAACUGCCUUUGAUACUGGGUAUCUUGAGUAUGGAAGAGGUAAGUGGAAUUGCGAGUGUAGAGGUGAAAUUCGUAGAUAUUCGCAGGAACACCAGUGGCGAAGGCGGCUUACUGGUCCAUAACUGACGCUGAGGUGGCGAAAGCG